CCUACGGGAGGCAGCAGUGAGGAAUAUUGGUCAAUGGGCGCGAGCCUGAACCAGCCAAGUAGCGUGAAGGAGGACUGCCCUACGGGUUGUAAACUUCUUUUAUAAAGGAAUAAAGUGAGGCACGUGUGCCCGUUUGUAUGUACUUUAUGAAAAAGGAUCGGCUAACUCCGUGCCAGCAGCCGCGGUAAUACGGAGGAUCCGGGCGUUAUCCGGUUUUAUUGGGUUUAAAGGGAGCGUAGAUGGGUUGUUAAGUCAGUUGUGAAAGUUUGCGGCUCAACCGUAAAAUUGCAAUUGAUACUGGCAGCCUUGAGUGCAGUUGAGGUAGGCGGAAUUCGUGGUGUAACGGUGAAAUGCUUAGAUAUCACGAAGAACUCCGAUUGCGAAGGCAGCUUACUAAACUGCCACUGACAUUGAGGCUCGAAAGUGUGGGUAUCAAACAGGAUUAGAUACCCCAGUAGUC
rnacentral:rRNA from 1 species